UGGGGAAUAUUGCACAAUGGGCGCAAGCCUGAUGCAGCGACGCCGCGUGGGGGAUGACGGCCUUCGGGUUGUAAACUCCUUUCGCUAGGGACGAAGCUUUUUGUGACGGUACCUAGAUAAGAAGCACCGGCUAACUACGUGCCAGCAGCCGCGGUAAUACGUAGGGUGCGUGCGCUGUCCGGAAUUACUGGGCGUAAAGGGCUCGUAGGUGGUUUGUCGCGUCGUCUGUGGAGUUCCGGGGCUUAACUCCGGGCGUGCAGGCGAUACGUGCAUAACUUGAGUACUGGAGGGGUAAGUGGAAUUCCUGGUGUAGCGGUGUAAUGCGCAGAUAUCAGGAGGAGCACCGAUGGCGAAGGCAGGUUACUGGGCAGUUACUGUCGCUGAGGGGCGAAAGCAUGGGUAGCGAACAGG
rnacentral:rRNA from 1 species